GAUGAACGCUGGCGGCGUGCCUAAUACAUGCAAGUCGAGCGAACGGACGAGAAGCUUGCUUCUCUGAUGUUAGCGGCGGACGGGUGAGUAACACGUGGAUAACCUACCUAUAAGACUGGGAUAACUUCGGGAAACCGGAGCUCACACCGGAUAAUAUUUUGAACCUCAUGGUUCAACAGUGAAAGACGGUCUUGCUGUCACUUAUAGAUGUAUCCGCGCUGCAUUAGCUAGUUGGUAAGGUAACGGCUUACCAAGGCGACGAUGCAUAGCCGACCUGAGAGGGUGAUCGGCCACACUGGAACUGAGACACGGUCCAGACUCCUACGGGAGGCAGCAGUAGGGAAUCUUCCGCAAUGGGCGAAAGCCUGACGGAGCAACGCCGCGUGAGUGAUGAAGGUCUUCGGAUCGUAAAGCUCUGUUAGUAGGGAAGAACGUAUGUGUAAGUAACUGUGCACAUCUUGACGGUACCUAAUGAGAAAGCAACGGCUAACUACGUG
rnacentral:rRNA from 1 species